rnacentral:rRNA from 1 species
AACGAACGCUGGCGGCAUGCCUAACACAUGCAAGUCGAACGAGACCUUCGGGUCUAGUGGCGCACGGGUGCGUAACGCCUGGGAACCUGCCCUUAGGUUCGGAAUAACUCCCCGAAAGGGGUGCUAAUACCGGAUAAUGUCUUCGGACCAAAGAUUUCUCGCCUUUGGAUGGGCCCGCGUUGGAUUAGCUAGUUGGUAGGGUAAAAGCCUACCAAGGCGACGAUCCAUAGCUGGUCUGAGAGGAUGAUCAGCCACACUGGGACUGAGACACGGCCCAGACUCCUACGGGAGGCAGCAGUGGGGAAUAUUGGACAAUGGGCGAAAGCCUGAUACAGCAAUGCCGCGUGAGUGAUGAAGGCCUUAGGGUUGUAAAGCUCUUUUACCCGGGAUGAUAAUGACAGUACCGGGAGAAUAAGCUCCGGCUAACUCCGUG